rnacentral:tRNA from 3 species
GCCAACGUAGCUCAGUUGGUAGAGCAGCUCACUCGUAAUGAGCAGGUCGCCGGUUCGAGUCCGGCCGUUGGCU